GGGGCAUGGUCUAGGUAUAAGGCAUUAUACCGUGAAACUGCGAAUGGCUCAUUAAAUCAGUUAUCGUUUAUUUGAUAGUACCUUACUACUUGGAUAACCGUGGUAAUUCUAGAGCUAAUACAUGCUGAAAACCCCAACUUCGGGAGGGGUGUAUUUAUUAGAUAAAAAACCAACGCCCUUCGGGGCUUCUUGGUGAUUCAUGAUAACUUUACGGAUCGCAUGGCCUUGCGCCGGCGACGGUUCAUUCAAAUUUCUGCCCUAUCAACUUUCGAUGGUAAGGUAUUGGCUUACCAUGGUUUCAACGGGUAACGGGGAAUUAGGGUUCGAUUCCGGAGAGCGAGCCUGAGAGACGGCUAGCACAUCCAAGGAAGGCAGCAGGCGCGCAAAUUACCCAAUCCCGACACGGGGAGGUAGUGACAAUAAAUACUGAUACAGGGCUCUUUUGGGUCUUGUAAUUGGAAUGAGUACAAUUUAAACCUCUUAACGAGGAACAAUUGGAGGGCAAGUCUGGUGCCAGCAGCCGCGGUAAUUCCAGCUCCAAUAGCGUAUAUUAAAGUUGUUGCAGUUAAAAAGCUCGUAGUUGAAACUUGGGUCUGGCUGGCAGGUCCGCCUCACCGCGUGUACUUGUCCGGCCGGGCCUUCCUUCUGGAGAACCUCAUGCCCUUCACUGGGCGUGUUGGGGACCAGGACUUUUACUUUGAAAAAAUUAGAGUGUUCAAAGCAGGCCUUUGCUCGAAUACGUUAGCAUGGAAUAAUAGAAUAGGACGUGCGGUUCUAUUUUGUUGGUUUCUAGGACCGCCGUAAUGAUUAAUAGGGACAGUCGGGGGCAUCAGUAUUCAAUUGUCAGAGGUGAAAUUCUUGGAUUUAUUGAAGACUAACUACUGCGAAAGCAUUUGCCAAGGAUGUUUUCAUUAAUCAGUGAACGAAAGUUAGGGGAUCGAAGACGAUCAGAUACCGUCGUAGUCUUAACCGUAAACUAUGCCGACUAGGGAUCGGGCGAUGUUCUUUUUUUUGACUCGCUCGGCACCUUUACGAGAAAUCAAAGUUUUUGGGUUCUGGGGGGGGAGUAUGGUCGCAAGGCUGAAACUAGAGAUUUGUGUGGGCGGAGAGAGA
rnacentral:rRNA from 1 species